rnacentral:rRNA from 1 species
GCUCCCGGAUGUUAGCGGCGGACGGGUGAGUAACACGUGGGUAACCUGCCUGUAAGACUGGGAUAACUCCGGGAAACCGGAGCUAAUACCGGAUAGUUCCUUGAACCGCAUGGUUCAAGGAUGAAAGACGGUUUCGGCUGUCACUUACAGAUGGACCCGCGGCGCAUUAGCUAGUUGGUGAGGUAACGGCUCACCAAGGCGACGAUGCGUAGCCGACCUGAGAGGGUGAUCGGCCACACUGGGACUGAGACACGGCCCAGACUCCUACGGGAGGCAGCAGUAGGGAAUCUUCCGCAAUGGACGAAAGUCUGACGGAGCAACGCCGCGUGAGUGAUGAAGGUUUUCGGAUCGUAAAGCUCUGUUGUUAGGGAAGAACAAGUGCAAGAGUAACUGCUUGCACCUUGACGGUACCUAACCAGAAAGCCACGGCUAACUACGUGCCAGCAGCCGCGGUAAUACGUAGGUGGCAAGCGUUGUCCGGAAUUAUUGGGCGUAAAGGGCUCGCAGGCGGUUUCUUAAGUCUGAUGUGAAAGCCCCCGGCUCAACCGGGGAGGGUCAUUGGAAACUGGGAAACUUGAGUGCAGAAGAGGAGAGUGGAAUUCCACGUGUAGCGGUGAAAUGCGUAGAGAUGUGGAGGAACACCAGUGGCGAAGGCGACUCUCUGGUCUGUAACUGACGCUGAGGAGCGAAAGCGUGGGGAGCGAACAGGAUUAGAUACCCUGGUAGUCCACGCCGUAAACGAUGAGUGCUAAGUGUUAGGGGGUUUCCGCCCCUUAGUGCUGCAGCUAACGCAUAAGC